rnacentral:tRNA from 1 species
GGCUUCAUGGUGUAGUGGUCAGCACGCUCGACGCGUAUUCGAGAGGUCCGUGGUUCGAGUCCUGGAGAGGGCA